UACGGGGGGGGCAAGCGUUGUUCGGAAUUACUGGGCGUAAAGGGCUCGUAGGCGGCCAACUAAGUCAUACGUGAAAUCCCUCGGCUUAACCGGGGAACUGCGUCUGAUACUGGAUGGCUUGAGUUCGGGAGAGGGAUGCGGAAUUCCAGGUGUAGCGGUGAAAUGCGCAGAUAUCAGGAGGAACACCAAUGGCGAAGGCAGCUCGCUGGGACGUGACUGACGCUGAGACGCGAAAGCGUGGGGAGCAAACAGG
rnacentral:rRNA from 1 species